rnacentral:rRNA from 1 species
UACGGAGGGUGCAAGCGUUGUCCGGAUUUAUUGGGUUUAAAGGGUGCGUAGGUGGCCCUAUAAGUCAGUGGUGAAAGUCUGCAGCUUAACUGUAGAACUGCCAUUGAUACUGUAGGGCUUGAGUACUGAUGAGGUAGGCGGAAUUGAUAGUGUAGCGGUGAAAUGCAUAGAUAUUAUCAAGAACACCGAUUGCGAAGGCAGCUUACUAAGGAGUUACUGACACUGAGGCACGAAAGCGUGGGGAUCAAACAGG